rnacentral:rRNA from 1 species
CCGACGGUGAGGGGUGAAAGCUGGGGGAGCAAACCGGAUUAGAUACCCGGGUAGUCCCAGCUGUAAACUAUGCAAACUCAGUGAUGCAUUGGCUUGUGGCCAAUGCAGUGCUGCAGGGAAGCCGUUAAGUUUGCCGCCUGGGAAGUACGUACGCAAGUAUGAAACUUAAAGGAAUUGGCGGGGGAGCACCACAAGGGGUGAAGCCUGCGGUUCAAUUGGAGUCAACGCCAGAAAUCUUACCCGGAGAGACAGCAGAAUGAAGGUCAAGCUGAAGACUUUACCAGACAAGCUGAGAGGUGGUGCAUGGCCGUCGCCAGCUCGUGCCGUGAGAUGUCCUGUUAAGUCAGGUAACGAGCGAGAUCCCUGCCUCUAGUUGCCACCAUUACUCUCAGGAGUAGUGGGGCGAAUUAGCGGGACCGCCGCAGUUAAUGCGGAGGAAGGAAGGGGCCACGGCAGGUCAGUAUGCCCCGAAACUCUGGGGCCACACGCGGGCUGCAAUGGUAACGACAAUUGGUUUCGAAUCCGAAAGGAUGAGGUAAUCCUCAAACGUUACCACAGUUAUGACUGAGGGCUGCAACUCGCCCUCACGAAUAUGGAAUCCCUAGUAACUGCGUGUCAUUAUCGCGCGGUGAAUACGUCCCUGCUCCUUGUACACACCGCCCGU